CGCCAGCGGUUGAGCUCCAUUGCGCGGUGCCAUUGGGCGCGGCGUCAACCAAUUGCAGGCGGCGUUGCUCAUCGUAGGGGCGACCCAGUGGUGAUCAUGGCGUCCGGCCUGGAGCAGUUCGUGAACAACGUUCGGCAGCUCUCGUCGCAGGGCCAGAUGACACAGCUAUGCGACCUCAUCAACAAGAGCGUGGAGCUGCUGGCCAAGAAUGUGACGCACCUGGACACCGUGCUGGGCGCGCUCGACGUUCAAGAGCACUCUCUCGGCGUGCUCGCUGUGCUGUAUGUAAAGAUCUCUAUGCCCAACGUACCGGACUUUGAGACGCUCUUCUCUCAAGUCCAGCUCUUUAUCGGUGCCUGCAAUGGGGAGCAUAUACGCUUCGCGACAGACAGCUUUGCUGGCCUCUGUCACAUGCUCACAAACGCACUGGUAGAACGAAAGCAGGCACUCCGUGGCAUCAGUAUCCUCAGGCAGGCCAUAGACAAAAUGCAGAUGAGCGCAACGCAGCUGACGUCCAUCCACGCUGACCUGUGCCAGCUGUGCCUGUUGGCCAAGUGCUUCAAGCCAGCGCUGCCAUAUUUGGACACAGACAUGAUGGACAUUUGCAAGGAAAAUGGAGCCUUUGACGCGAAGCACUUCCUCUGCUAUUACUACUAUGGUGGCAUGAUUUACACGGGCCUCAAGAACUUUGAUCGAGCACUUUACUUCUACGAGCAGGCGAUUACUACCCCGGCGAUGGCUGUCAGUCACAUAAUGCUGGAGUCAUACAAGAAGUACAUAGUGGUGUCACUCAUCCUGCAUGGCAAGGUGCUGGCGUUGCCCAAGUACACAUCGCAGAUUGUCGGGCGGUUCAUCAAGCCGCUGAGCAGCGCGUACCACGAGCUGGCGCAGGCCUACGCCACCAACAACCCGGCCGAGCUGCGCGGCACCGUGGCCAAGCACAGCGAGACCUUCGCUAACGACAGCAACAUGGGCUUGGUGAAGCAGUGCGUGUGCUCCCUCUACAAGAAGAACAUCCAGCGGCUCACCAAGACCUUUCUAACGCUCUCUCUGCAAGACAUGGCCAAUAGGGUGCAGUUGUCUGGCCCCCGGGAAGCAGAGAAGUACGUCCUGCACAUGAUCGAGGAUGGGGAAAUCUUUGCCAGCAUUAAUCAAAAGGACGGGAUGGUGUGUUUUCAUGACAAUCCAGAGAAAUACAACAACCCUGCCAUGCUGCUCUACAUCGAUCAAGAGAUGCAGAAGGUGAUCGAGCUGGACGAGAAGCUGAGGGCGAUGGACCAGGAGAUCACCAUCAACCCCCAGUUCGUGCAGAAGGCUGGCCGGCCGAAUGCCGUGAAUGCAUCGGUGCAUCUCCAUGGUCCUUAACCAGUGGACUAUCCAGGGGGUGCUGCGGUGGCGAGAUGUUACCUGCCUCGCCUGAGCAUGGGCUCCCAGGAUGAGGACGUAGGGAAGUCCACCAGCUACUCCUGAGAGGCGAGCCGCGUGGUUUGCCCAGCGACGGGGGAGGGCUCGCUGCUCGCCCGCUUGCCCGGCUGGCAGGCAGGCUUUACGCCUUUGCCUAAUGGGCACCUGCCUGCCACUCCACCACUGGGGGCUACCACCACCACCAGCAGCAGCAGCAAUAGUAGCACGAGUCAUGUCAGCAGCACCAAUGCGGUCGUCACCUCCAUUGACAACGCCUACACAACCAUUUCGCUUAUGUCCAUGCCCACAGCAACAGCUGAUAACGCUACCACCCACUGGAAAUCUGCAUUGGCACGAGGUUCAUUAAACAACAACGCUUUGUUAUAUUUUUUUUAUUUGAAGCAACCAUGGAUGAAUGGAUACAGGACAAAUUGUACAUUUUGUUGUUUGAAUGAAUAUAUGCAAUGGAGGAAAUUGUGUUGUUUGAUCCAAAUAUGAUUAGCGUUUUGAUAAAAUGAUAACAUUGUAAAUGUGUGCGUCUGCAGAUUAAUUUUUGGCCUGGUUAAUGGCCAAGCCGGAACUCCUGAUAUCAUAAUGGACAUGAAACUGUAAAAAAAAAUCUGAAAGAAAAAAACAACCCCAAAACCAAUUCAUACACCAUUGCAAGGAAUAAGUCUCGAACAAAAUAUUUUAAAACAUUUGUCAUUUAACAUUUAAGACGCCUUAACAUUUACUUGGAGAUAUACAUCUGGUGAUAUGAAACGCCGGUGUUCGGUACAAUUUUGGCUUGCCAUAUCGGGGCCGUGUCAGAGCCCAGGUGUGUGGUGCUGGCUUCUGCCACCCCGUGCCCGUGAUGCACCCUUGCCUCCCGUGAUGCGCACCCUUGCCUCCCGUGAUACACCAUUGCCUCCUCCCUCAGCUUUGCCUCCCCCCUCCAUACACAGACCGGCCAACGCUUGUGGACGAAAUGGUCACAGCCACUCGCAGCGUUGCCAGAUUGGAAGUCUUCCCGAAAUAUUUUGCAGGUUGCACGUUCACGUUCGAGCAAAUGUGGAGGUUCUCAAUGGGAGAGGAGAGUUUAUAGAAUACAGGCGGUCCCUGCUUUUACGACGUCACAACUUGGUCCUGGAAACGCCGUCAUUGUGAACCUGACCCAUAUUGUUCCCCAUAAACGAUCGAAACGGUAGGAACACAACUUGGCGAUGUUUUUUUUUUCGUUUUACUUGCCGGAAAUCAGACUGACUCUGUUCAAAUACGUUCGGAGCCGUGUCAGAAGAUGCGUCGCAAAUGGAGUUUGUGGUGGCGUUGUAUAAACGUGAAUGUGGAUCGUCAUAAUCCGGACACCGCCUGUAUUCAGCCAGGUAACACCAAUGGGCAAGUGCCUUGAUUUCCUGCUUCCCAAGCUAAACUUUGCAUGUGUGGCUCUUAAUUUUGCGUCUUCUCUUGCCAGUUCUUGGGCAUGGUGAAAUUGUAAUUCAUUAACUAAAUAUAUACUUCACUCUACCACCGAUUCUGCCAUUCUUAAUUUACUAAUCUAAAUGAUCUUAUUGUGUUUAAAUUUCAAUAUAUCCACCCCCCAGGAGGUUCGUGUUGUAUGAGAUGCGGGAGCGUUUGACGAUUUGAGCUUGUAUUGACGGUGUUCAGUCUUGAAGCUCCAAGUAACUUUUCCUUCACUAAGGCUUCCAAGUAUUCGGGAACUUUUUUUUGCUGUGAGAAGCUUUUGUGCUUGGAAACACCGAGCCACAACAGAACCAGGAUCGGACCAACGGUGAAUGGAAAGCCGAUUUCCAUCAAUGUUGGAGCCUAAAUUGGUCUUGAUUGGUAAACGUAAAAAAAUUAUCGCAGUGCUUUAUAUCUGCCUGCAAAUCAAGGCUGUGGGUUUUAAACAAAUCCCCCAAAAAAUAAGUCGAGUUUGAAACAAAAAAAACAGACUACACCAUGUGGCAUGCCAGAAAAUGUCAUUUUUUUCUUACCACAAUGCACCGACUGCAUUGUUCCUCAUGUCCUGGUGCCUUCAACGUUUCGUGUCUGAUCUAGCAACAUCGUUCAAACCUCCUCGCACAAUAUGAACUCUGUCCCAAUAUUGGCCAAAAAGCUCGUGGGAUCCCAGUGAUCAGCUGUGGAUCCACUCAAAUACACAACAUCCAACGCCUUGUGCCUCCUAUUGACUAGAGAAGUGAUUUUAUGUUGAGUUUGGAGAAAAAGCAUCGUCACCACCAGUGGAAAGAUGAGAACGUCAAAAUAAGAGAUGCUUUAAGCCAUAUUUGUUUCCCCCAACACAGGACCUCUGUUGGUGAUGUUGCCUGUCGCAACGUGAGCAUCUCGGAAUGUUCAAGGACGGUGACUCCAUGACUUGACCGCUGUUGAUGCAUUGCGUGGUGUUGCAGGCUGCUGAACUGCACAGGUUGCUAAACUUGCUUGAUGCUUUGGUAACUUACCCUCUGUGGACACAUCCCUAUCAUGUCCAAUCAUCUUCUAAAGGCACUCUGUGUGUGUUUGUCUAUACUUGGAAACCAUAGAAUUUGUACUUAUUACAACUCUAUGUAUGUUGAACUUUUUUGCACCGUACGUAGCCAACUGCUAAUUGGAGGUGCGGGGGGGAGAGGGAAAAAAACUAAACAGAAAAAGCAGUUCUAAAGAAAUUCGUUUUCCAUGUAAAAUAUCGGAAGGAAGAGCGUUCCAGACGGCCGCAGAAGCGCAUCUGAAAUCGUGCGAUACAGUGACCAUCUUCAAUGGUUAUCCAAAAGCCACUGCGAGGAUGACCGGAGUUUGCGUGAUGAUUUUUCUUCUAGACGAGAUCAGCGAGGUCUCGUGGUUCAUUUGUGGCAAGCACUUUGUGUGUAAUGAGAGCGUUCUUAUAACCCUGGCACUAUACUCAACAAAUGCCGAAUCUUUCAAUGCCUUCGAAGGCUUUCAUGUUUAUAUUUAAUAACUAGCCGUGGUUGUACACAGUUCUAAGUAUUUGGCAGGCAUCGGGCCUCUAAUGACUCGUCACAAUUCGACAGCGCGUUUAUAAAUCGCAAGCAACUUCCACCGUAUGUCUACUCACAUUGAUUUCAAAGAGCAUGUAAAAUGCAGUGUUUUGAAAUACACGAAUGUGUAGACACGAAUUGCACUCUCUCGGGGUAGAUGCAGGCGUUCUGGAAGACCUGAACUGGGGUGUUGGUCUCAGUGGAGUUGUAAUUGACCCGUCUCCUUCCACGGUGACAUUCUGCCCAGCAACUUAAAAUUGCAGCCCUGCAGUGCCUGCUUCCCACCUUGGUCGAUUCUCAACUUUCCACAGCCCAGUUUUCCCAGCUUCCCAGUGCUAUGAAUGUACAUGUCAGUUAUAUACAACGCUCGCACGUGUCACGUUGCCGAAACGUCGAAGGGUGGGACGCUGGCUUGGAGGGUGUUUGGUGGCGCACGGGAAUUCGACAGUUUAAUUUUAUUUAAUUUUUCUUUCAUAGACUGCCAGGAAAGGCAGAUAACUUUAUAGUGUGUACUGUUGACCGUUAGGUCUUCAAUAAAAUUAUUGACACGCAGUCACGUGUGUGUUGCACCUGAA